GUAUAACUAAUUCGAGUUGUAAUUGGGAAUCCAAAAAUCAUAGUUAUUAUCUACUUUUCUUCUGACAUGUUUAUUUAAAAUUUAUAUUGAAUUUCCUGAAUGAAUUUCCUGAAAGCACCAAGAACACUGAUUUUUUGGAAGGACUCCGCUUUUCAGGAACGGAAGUGAUAGACGAUAUUGAGAUAGCUGCAAAGGUUCCUCGUAAUCUGGUCGAGGUAUGGGUGGUGGAUGUAUUACGCUCCAUGGCAGGUAAGGAUCGAUGUGGAUAGGAGACUUAAUUAAUACGUUUUUUACCCCUUGAAGAUUCUCCUUCAUUCAAUGAUUUCCUUUUGAAUGGCCAAUGUCCCCGCAUUUCUGAAAGACGCGUGGAAGAUCCAGUUGUUGGAGGGACCCUAGUGCAGGAGAAGGUGGAAUCAGGAUCGGAGAAUUAGCAAUUGUCCCAUUUUCUGAUUUAUCAUCACUGAUCAUAAUCACCUCAUACACAUCGUCAUCAGUCCUCCUCAUGGGGUUGUUGCCUUGCACGUUUCUCUUCCGAGAACUCAUUCCUACUCAACAAAUGUAACAUAUUUCAUCACAAUCUCAUAUAAAUGUAACCAUAAGGGCUUCAUUAUAUAAUAUCUAAGAAGAUAUCAACAAUAAUAUACACCUCAUUAACUAGAAAUAGUUAUAAAAAAUCGAUUAUAGAUUUCCAAACAUACAUUUUCAAGCCUGGAAGAAUGUAAUUAUUAGAAUCGAAAAACAAUUAUCUGGAAUUAGUAAUUUUCAGAUUUUCUUCAUCCAAUUAGUAAUUUAGUCAAACCGGUAAUGUUAAAAUUUGUACAGGGAAAAAAAACAAUGCUGGGCAUGGUCUAAUUUUCAACAAAUUGAGUAGUAUUAAAAUCUACGAAACUUUGAAAACUAGGUCGGCGAAAACCUUGAACACAUAAUGUGAUUCCAUAUCAAAACAGACAAACAAAAAACUAAGCAUAGAAAAUCGAUAUUGGUAAAAUAAUACUAAAAACCUGGGAGAAACGAAACCUUUAGAUGAAUCGAUGGAUAUUAUGGCCGAAUAACUUUUCCGAUGUUCUCAAAAUACAGCCCCGACGAAUGUUUAAAUAGAGCAAAACCUAUACCGCUGUAAUGAUGAAAUCCCUGUCAUCGAUCGUCGGCCCAGAGCACGUCGCCGUCGGAAGGCAUGGUUAGGCCCAUGGGCGUAUCUAGGGGGAGCAAGGGAGGGCAAUUGCCCAC
rnacentral:lncRNA from 1 species